ACUGUAUCUGAGCUGGACAGUCCUCUCCUUCACCCCUAACCCCCUUCUACCCCCAUACUGUAUCUGAGCUGGACAGUCCUCUCCUUCUCCCCUAACCCCCAAUACCCCCAUACUGUAUCUGAGCUGGACAGUCCUCUCCUUCUCCCCUAACCCCCACUACCCCCAUACUGUAUCUGAGCUGGACAGUCCUCUCCUUCUCCCCUAACCCCCACUACCCCCAUACUGUAUCUGAGCUGGACAGUCCUCUCCUUCUCUCUUAACCCCCACUACCCCCAUACUGUAUCUGAGCUGGACAGUCCUCUCCUUCUCCCCUAACCCCCACUACCCCCAUACUGUAUCUGAGCUGGACAGCUUCCAGAGAUCUGGCUGAUGGACGGAGAGUACUCUGCAUACAUACAGACUGACGAACGGACAGAGACAGAAAUACAGAGACGGACGGACAGUAAGACAUCCACACCCAGCUGUGACACAACUCAGCCACAACUCUGUGACUGUCUAGUCCACAACACAACUCUGGAGAGACUGUCUAGUCCACAACACAGUGAGAAGCAGCAUCUCAACCUUCUUAGCUGUCUGGAACGACUCCUGCUUCCCGCCAUCUCAUUAAAAGUGUCUUUGGAAAAUGUGUGAACAUCAUAUACUCCUGCUUCCUGCUUCCUGCUUCCUGGCCUUUUCUUAUUCAUUUAUUCUGAUGUCUUUUACAGUUUUAUAGUUUUAAGAUGUUGUUUUUAAUGAUGAGCCUGGGAAAACCAAAAAUGAUGUAUCGGAAGUUUGGGGAAGAACUACUGAUUUGGAAGGUUAAAUUAGGUUAGGUUAAAUUAGGUUAGGUUAAAUUAGGUUAGGUUAAAUUAGGUUAGGUUAAAUUAGGUUAAGUUCGGUUAAAUUAGAUUAGGUUAAAUUAGGUUAAAUUAGGUUAAGUUAGGCUAGGUUAAGUUAGGUUAGGUUGUUAGGCUAAGUUAGGCUAGGGCAACAUUCCAAAUGGCACUUAAUCCCUACAUAGUGCACUAGUUUUGACCAGAGCUCUGUGGCCACUGGUCAAAAUGAGUGUACUAUAUAGGGAAUAGGGUGCCAUUUGGGACACCACCUAGGUUAUACAAGCUAGAGUCCCAGUUAGGACUGUGUGGUGGUGAUGGGGGAUGGGCUGGAGCCUGGGCUGGGUACCUUGUAUACUAUAGCAUACUGCUGCUUGGCUGUGCCAGCAUGUCUAGAAGUUAAACCUUUCAUUGUCGAAUCAAGUGCCUUCAGUUGUAUUGUUUUGAGAGAAUAAGAGGGGAAAACAAAGGAACGCCAAGUUUUCUGUAUUGUAGUGUAUUGUAGUGUAUUGUAGUGUAUGUAUUGUAGUGUAUUGUGUAUCGUGACUUCAAGCAUUAAUGAUGUAUCGUAGAAAUGGUAUCAUUGACGAACAAACCACACUUCCCUCUACUUCCCCGAUGUUUCAUAAUCAAAAGUGUACUUCUAUUGUUAAAGGUUUUAUAAAAACGUGUUAUCACGAUGUUCUUUUCAAUCCUAGCCUCUUUAUUUUCCCUGUCUCAUUCAAGCCUGAUUCGCGGUUGCUUUGUUCCUGAUCUUUUACUAGUCUUCUGUGUUUCUUAGGUUAUUACAGGAUGGAUAAUAGAUCAAACAGAUUCUUGUUUUUUUUUACUUUAGGUUUUUUGUUGUUGUUGGAUUGAUAUGUUUGUUUUUUAAAUCACUAAAUGACGUGGACAUCUUUUACAGAGAAACAGACCGAUUCCAUUACGAGUUGUCUCUCACCAGUUAGGGUUUUUAACUGGACAAGUUUGGUAAUGAUUUAAUGUAGUUGUAACCUUUUCCAUCACACGCUCUGCUUUCAUUCUUUCACUAUUACGUUAAGAUAUUCCUAAUCAAUACCCCCCCCCCCCCCCCCCCCCCCCCCAACAAAUAAAUUCUAACUUGAAAGAAGAACAAAAGGCACUUUGGAUCAAUAAGGGCUUGUUUGAUAUACCUGCAUCCUGAAUGGCACCCUAUUCCCUACACAGUGCACUACUAUAUAAUGGGAAUAGGGUGCAUUUUAGGAGCCAGCCAUUGUCUCCCUGUCUGAAAGGCAGUCUACAGAUAUCCUUUACUGCCCUGUUGUAGACCUGCUGUGCUGCUGAAACAAGAUGGUGGUUAGGACCUGUUUUAUCUGGUGAGAAGAGCAUGUCAUGACGGUUAGAGAGGUAAAGGUUAGAGGUCACAGCCGGGGUUUGAUUUGAAUCAAUGGUAAAUGUGAGUUACAGUAUGUUGGCUUUAGUUGGUGUACAGGUAGAAUUUCUCCUUAUGAAAAAACAACCAGCUAUGGUUUUAUAGUCAGGAAUUGUUGUGAUGUGACAGAUUCCAAAGAGUUAUUUUUUUUAUUUUUUUUCUAGUGUUUCUUCUUUCAACUGAUACUGAAUCUAAUUUCACGAGCGGAAAAAAAACCCUAAAUGAUUUGUUAUUAUCAAUCUCUGUCCAUCUGUCUACCUAUAUAUACACAUGUACGUAUGUAUAAGCUAAUGAGAAUAUGUCAAUUAGGUUAGGGUUUCAAGGUAACCGAGGUGUCUAGACGGUCAUUGUGAUGAACAAAACUGAGGAUUCUAAAGGAUUCUAGAAGUUCUAGAAUAGAACAGACAAGUACGUGAUUCUUCCGGAAUGAUUUCUGUCACGUGUUUGACAUUCUGACAACACAACAACAACGUUGGUGAUCCACUACAGUGACUUAUCUUGUUAAAGUUUGGUGGUUGAAUAAAUGAUGUAUUUGUCACAUAAGUGUGAUUUUUUUUUUUUAAUGCUUAGCUAGUUUUGUUAGACUAUUAGUUAACUGUUGACUGUUUGUGUAGUACUAAUCACUCACGUUUUAAAGGAUUGGUAUUUAGGUAUUGUCUAAAUGCACACGUCAAAAAAUGAAUUUAUAUGUUCAGUAACGAUGAUCUCUAAAUCUUUUCAGAGAUAAUAUGUACAUGUAUUGUAGAAACAAAUUAUCUUCCAUAUGUAUCCCUUUCUGUAAAACUUUAGAAUUGGCCUGGAAUAAUGUAUAUACUGUAGUAAUAAAGUAUAUACUGUAGUAAUAAAGUAUAUACUGUAGUAAUAAAGUAUAUACUGUAGUAAUAAAGUAUAUACUGUAGUAAUAAAG
ensembl:lncRNA